rnacentral:misc_RNA from 1 species
AAGUCGUAACAAGGUUUCCGUAGGUGAACCUGCGGAAGGAUCAUUCAUAAUCAAGUGUUUUUAUGGCACUUUCAAAAAUCCAUAUCCACCUUGUGUGCAAUGUCAUCUCUCUGGGGGCUGCCGGCUGUCAAAAGCCGUGUGGUCACCUUUGGGAUUUAUAUCUACGCAGAACUUUAGUGAUUUUGUCUGAAACAUAUUAUGAAUACUUAAUUCAAAAUACAACUUUCAACAACGGAUCUCUUGGCUCUC